rnacentral:rRNA from 1 species
CAGUAGGGAAUAUUGCAAAAUGGGCGCAAGCCCGAUGCAGCAACGCCGCGUGGGCGAUGAAGGCCUUCGGGUCGUAAAGCCCUUUUUGAGGGGAUGAGGAAGGACAGUACCCUCAGAAUAAGCCUCGGCUAACUACGUGCCAGCAGCCGCGGUAAAACGUAGGAGGCGAGCGUUAUCCGGAUUUACUGGGCGUAAAGCGCGUGCAGGCGGAUUGGAGAGUUGGAUGUGAAAGCUCCCGGCUUAACUGGGAGAGGUCGUUCAAUACUUCCAGUCUUGAGUGCAGUAGAGGGAAGUGGAAUUCCGGGUGUAGUGGUGAAAUGCGUAGAUAUCCGGAGGAACACCAGUGGCGAAAGCGGCUUCCUGGACUGUAACUGACGCUCAGACGCGAAAGCUAGGGUAGCAAACGGGAU